AUUUCUAUUAAACUUAUUAAUAGUAAGAUCUGCUCAAUGAAAAUUAAAUAGCCGCAUUCGUGCUAAGGUAGCAUAAUAAUUUGUCUUUUAAUUAAAGACUAGAACAAAAGAUUGUUCACUAUAAUUUGUUUCUUACAUUUAAAUAUUUAAACUAUUCUAAUUGUAAUAAAACAAUUAUAAAAAAGAAAGACGAUAAGACCCUAUUGAACUUGUACUUAAGUUUAGCUGGGGCAGCUAACUAACUAAAAUCUUAAUUAAUUAUAUUAUAUAAAUAGACCUAAUAAAAUUACUUAAUUAAUUAAGUUACCAUAGGGAUAACAGUAUAAUAAUAUUUUUAAGUACUUAUAAAAAAUAAAGAUUAUAACCUCGAUGUUGAUUUAAUUUUCCAAAUCUUACGCAAUAGUAAGUCAUGGAAGUCUGUUCGACUUUUAAACAAUUACAUGAUCUGAG
rnacentral:rRNA from 1 species